rnacentral:tRNA from 1 species
AAAUUUUUAGGUUAAAUAAACCAGAAGCCUUCAAAGCUUAAAUUAGGUAUACCCUAAAAUUUA